rnacentral:snRNA from 1 species
GUCAUUUCCAGCUUUUGGCUUAGAUCAAGUGUAGUAUCUGUUCUUUUCAGUUUAAUCGCUGGAACGUCUCUAAGGAGACUUUUACGAUUAUCAAAUUCUUGGAACGCGCCGGGGUCUCGUGGUUGGCUUGCCUCUGCGAUUCUCUGGCACAGGUGUCCUCGCAGUUGCACUCCAUGCUUGCGACGCCGAUUCUUU